CAAUAGCGUAUAUUAAAGCUGUUGCGGUUAAAAAGCUCGUAGUUGGAUUUCUGUCAAAGACAACUGGUCCGCCCUCCGGGUGAGCACAUAGUUUGGUCUUGACAUCUUGCUGGAAGCUGUUGCUGCACUUGGCUGUGUGGCGCAGUGUUCAGCACUUUCACUUUGAGGAAAUUGGAGUGUUUCAAGCAGGCACAUGCCUUUGGACACAGUAGCAUGGAAUAAUUAGAUUGGGCUUUUGCUCCAAUUUGUCGGUUUCUGGAGCUGAGGUGAGUAUUAAUGGGGAUUGUUGGGGGCAUCCGAAUUUAGCCGUCAGAGGUGAAAUUCUUGGAUCUGCUAAAGACGGACAACUGCGAAAGCGUUUGCCCAGGAUGUUUNCAUUGA
rnacentral:rRNA from 1 species